rnacentral:misc_RNA from 1 species
CUUCUUCUUCUUCUUCUUCUGCUGGUGCUGCUGCUCUGCUUCGUCUGUUUCACUCCUUUCAGGAGCAGAAGCGGUUUUCCAGCGACAAUUGCACAGGGCGUUGGAGGAUUACGGGUGGCUCAGGGGGUCUUGUGUACUGUAGCGAACUGAUUGAUCAGGAGAAAAAGGAAGUGAAGAAAAAGGAAUUUUGUUGCUGGUGUUGGUUAUAGGAAGCUUGAAAAUUUUGUAUGACUUUGUUGUUGAUUGAUGGGCUUGAGGAACAUAGAGAAGAUGGUUUGCUAUCAUUUGGGGUUCUGAAAGGGACAAGCCAAGGAAAAUUUUUGUUGUUGGAGAAGGAGAUCUUGCAUGGUGGGAGGAUUGGUGGUCUCUGCUGCUAUGGCUGAUCAGGAUCAGUGUGGAGGGACUCGAUCGAAUACGGCUCCUCCGGCUGGCGAUGGAAUUUCAUUGAAUGCUGGCCUGCAUGCGGUAACUGGUCCCCAGCUUAAGGAGCAGUUUACUUUUGAGAACGACUACUCUCCGAAGGUUUUAUUCUUAGCAUGGCCCUGGUUCUGCUUCUGUAUAGUGGAUGAUGAUCUGAUUAUCCAGUUAAUAUCCUUUCCGAUCAUCUUUUACUAGGUGAGGAAACCGUACACAAUCACAAAACAAAGAGAAAGAUGGACAGAAGAUGAGCAUAAGAAAUUUCUUGAAGCCUUAAAACUUUAUGGCCGGGCUUGGAGACGGAUUGAAGGUAAUAAUUGGGCAAGAAGCUUUAUUUAUCGAGCACUUUUUUUUCUCAACCCAUAAGACUUGAAUCAUUCUGUUCUUUUGACAGAGCAUGUAGGCACCAAGACUGCAGUUCAGAUUAGAAGCCAUGCUCAGAAAUUCUUCUCUAAGGUUUACUGCUCUUAUUCCAGUAUCCAUUCUCUACCAUAAUAUCUAUAUGCCCUCUAUUAAAGUAAGGUGGAGUUUUUUCGUGACCCCAAGGUGUGUAAACCUUGUUAAAAGGGUUCACUUGUCAUGUUCAUAUAGGGUUCAUACUCAAAGUUUGUGUUUGGCAUAGGUUGUGAGAGAGGCAACUGGCAACAACACGAGUUCAGUAGAACCUGUAGAAAUUCCCCCUCCUAGACCAAAGCGAAAACCUAUGCAUCCCUACCCCCGCAAGAUGGCGCAUCCACUUAAUAAAGAACCCUCAAUUCCAGAGCAGCCACUGCAGUCUUCAUCCCCAAACUUUUCAAUUUCAGAACAAGAAAACCAAUCUCCAACAUCAGUAUUGUCUGCAGUUGGUUCAGAUGCUUUUGGUUCAAUUGAUUCAAAUACACCAAACAGUAGCUUAUCACCAGUUUCAUGUGCUGGCGGUUCUCAUCCUGCUGACUUCACAAUUUAUGAACCCAACUUGACACCUGCAGAUCAUGGCUGCCCAUCUCCAGCCACAAUAACUGCUGCAGCUCUUGACGAGCAAUCCCCCAAGGUCCAGAAACUCAACUUAUUUCCCAUAGAAAAUGUCUUCUCUGAAGAUGUUCUAAUGAGGGAAACAUCUACUCGGAGUCUCAAGCUCUUUGGAAGAACUGUACUGGUCACUGAAUGCCACAGACCAUCUUCUCCAACCAUAGGGAAUUCUAAAUUACCGCCAUUAGACGCGAAUGAUGGAAAACAUGUGCAACCACUGCCCUGGGACUUUAUGGCCACAGAACUGCAACAUGAGAAUAGGGAAUGCGCUUGGAGUCAUUUGUCAACACAUGGGCUUCCUGGGACACUUUAUUACCAGCAAUUCCAAAAGGAGAAGUCCAAUUCAACAGGGGCUGGCUCUGCUACUCCCCUCCCAUUGUAUGCUUUUUGUGGAGAUAUACCAUUUCCUUCUCACGGGCAGGAGCCUGUGAAAUUACAUUUGGAUUCUAAUGGUGAAGAAAUCCAAGAUAAAGAAAUUCAUAAGGAAGGAUCCUGGACUCGUUCUAACUCUGGAUCAGUAAAUGAGGGGGAGAAUGUGGAUAAAAAUGUAGAUGGCGAGACCCAGAGUCGGCAGUACCGGGUUCUUGAGCUGAAAACAAGUGAGAAAUCAGCUUCUUCAAGUAAGUAUAUGAAAGGGUUUGUGCCAUAUAAAAAACGUACGGCAGAAAGAGACAGCCGUUCGUCAACAAUAACAGGUGAAGAGAGGGAAGAACAAAGAAUCCGCCUUUGCUUAUAGCAGCAAGGCCUCGACUUCAUGGAACAUCCCCAAGAGAACAGAGAUGUUUUCUAACUGGUUGAGGAACUGACCUGGGAACAUUCUAGUUGAUGGACUUGUCUUUUGCAACUCGAUUGAGGAGGAAGGAAGAAUGGAGCUUUAAAGUAGCCGUCUUAUGCAACUUUAGUCAUUUAGCAUUUUAUCUUCAACUGUUUAGAUCCUUAAUUACACUCUUUUCUUUCUUGUAUGCAUCAUAUAUCCUUGCCUUUUUGUUUCUUUUUUGGAAUUUUCUUUUUGGUCCUUGGAAUUAGCUUUGUAUUACUUUAUAUUCUUUUCCUUGUUCCAAACUGUAAAUUCCUUAGUCCCGGCCUUUGUACAAUAUCUGAAAGUAGUGCUGCUUAGAAAUUUGGGCUACUAGUAAGGCAAAUAAGGCUUAAUGUUUCCAUUGGUAAAAUUUUCCUCCUCUUUUAUCUCCAAUUAGUUUAUAUACUAUAUAGAGCCUUGAUUAUCUUAUGUGG